GCUCAAAUAGUUUAGUGGUAGAAUAUACGCUUCCCAAGCGUAUGGCUCGGGUUCGAUUCCCGAUUUGAGCA